rnacentral:lncRNA from 1 species
UAUAAAUGUAGGCGGCGGCAGCCAGUCAAGCAAGUGCCGUGGCGGGAGCAGAGAGCGGCCACGGUAGCGGCGCCUCCCGGAGUGGCCCGUCACGCCCGGCCCCGCGCGGAAGAUACCAAGUUGUGCUAGUACAACCAUAUAAAUAAUUCAUACCUGAAGUCUCAAUGUAACAUGGACAUUAACAGUGAUGACAGAUAAAUACAGACGCUUGGGAUUCAAAUACUAGGCGAAACACUUUAAAAAAGUUACCAGAGAUUACUACAGACAAUUGCUGUACUUGAGGCUCAGCGUUCUCAAGCAGUCCAAGACCUUGAAAGUUUAGGCAAACACCAGAGAGAAGCAUUGAAGAAUCCUAUUGGAUUUGUGGAAAAACUCCAGAAGAAGGCUGAUAUAGGGCUUCCAUAUCCACAGAGAGUUGUGCAGUUGCCUGAGAUUAUAUGGGACCAAUAUACCAAUAGCCUUGGGAACUUUGAAAGAGAAUUUAAAAAUCGUAAAAGACAUACUAGGAGAGUUAAGUUAGUUUUUGAUAAAGUAGGAUUACCUGCUAGACCAAAAAGUCCUUUAGAUCCUAAGAAGGAUGGAGAGUCCCUUUCAUACUCUAUGUUGCCUUUGAGUGAUGGUCCAGAAGGCUCAAACAGUCGUCCUCAGAUGAUAAGAGGACGCCUCUGUGAUGAUACCAAACCUGAAACAUUUAACCAGUUAUGGACUGUUGAAGAACAGAAAAAACUUGAACAGCUACUUCUGAAAUACCCCCCUGAAGAAGUAGAAUCCCGACGUUGGCAGAAGAUUGCAGAUGAGCUGGGUAACAGAACAGCAAAACAGGUUGCCAGUCGGGUACAGAAGUAUUUCAUAAAGCUAACUAAAGCUGGCAUUCCAGUCCCAGGCAGAACACCAAACUUAUAUAUAUACUCCAGAAAGUCUUCAACAAGCAGACGACAACACCCCCUUAAUAAACAUCUCUUUAAACCUUCCACUUUUAUGACUUCACACGAACCACCAGUGUAUAUGGAUGAAGAUGAUGACCGAUCCUGUUUCCAUAGCCACAUGAACACUGCUAUUGAAGAAGCAUCAGAUGAAGAAAGUAUUCCUAUCAUGUAUAGGAAUUUACCUGAAUAUAAAGAACUGUUACAGUUUAAAAAGUUAAAGAAGCAGAAACUUCAGCAAAUGCAAGCUGAAAGUGGAUUUGUGCAACAUGUGGGCUUCAAGUGUGAUAACUGUGGCAUAGAACCUAUCCAGGGUGUUCGAUGGCAUUGCCAGGAUUGUCCUCCAGAAAUGUCUUUGGACUUCUGUGAAUCUUGUUCAGAUUGCCUACAUGAAACAGAUAUUCACAAGGAAGAUCACCAAUUAGAACCUAUUUAUAGGUCAGAGACAUUCUUAGACAGAGACUACUGUGUGUCCCAGGGCACCAGUUAUAAUUACCUUGAUCCAAACUACUUUCCAGCAAACAGAUGACAUGGAAGAGAACAUCAUUUACUAGUCCUCUUCAACACAUAGCAAUGGUAUCAUUGUUAAUUAUGUGCACAGUUUGGAAAGAUUCUCUGCUUUCCCUAAAAUGACACUCACAGCAUGGGAGCUUCCUGAGUGUUCUCGUCAAGUACAGCUCUGCACUGUUGUGGCUCUAGAUCACGUUCGGCAGUUGAACAUUCCUGGUGAGCGAAGGGUUUCCCUGGUGAAUUUUUCACCACUAAAAGCCUUUUAGGUGGCGAUCUUAAAUGGGUGAGAUGGAAAUGAGAGCACACAUUAAAGCAAGAGUAAAUUCCAAAGGUUUCAAAGAACUUGGUCAUAAAUAUGAUAAUGAGAAGACAAAGUAUUUAUAUUAAAACAGUUAAGUAGCUUUCAGUUUUGUGAAAAUAGUUUUCAGCACAGAAACUGACUUCUUUAGACAAAGUUUUAACCAAUGAUGGUGUUUGCUUCUAGGAUCUAUGCUCUAAAAGAACUCACUGUCCCAGUGGUGGCCAUUGUUGGCCUUUAGUAAAUCAGAGCUGCUUCCCCAUAUUGAUAUAUAAUUUCUUUUAACCACAAUGAAUUGUCCUUAUUACCAACAGUGAAGCACUACAGGAGGCAAUUGUGGCAUUGCUUCCUUAACCAGCUCAUGGUGUGUGAAUGUUAUGAAAUUGUCACUCAGAUAUAUUUUUUAAAUGUAAUGUUAUAUAAGAUGAUCAUGUGAUGUGUACAAACUAUGGUGAAAAGUGCCAGUGGUAGUAACUGUGUAAAGUCUCUAAUUCACAACAUUAAUUCCUUUAAAAUACACAGCCUUCUGCCUCUGUAUUUGGAGUUGUCUGUACAACUCAUCAAAGAAAACUGCCUAAUAUAAAAAUCAUAUAUAUGGUAAUAAUUUCCCUCUUUUGUAGUCUGCACAAGAUCCAUAAAAGAUUGUAUUUUUAUUACUAUUUAAACAAGUGAUUAAAUUUAGUCUGCGCAGUGAGCAAGAGUUCACAUGCAUUCUUUUAUACUGCUGGAUUUUGUUGUGCAUCAUUUAAAACAUUUUGUAUGUUUCUUCUUAUCUGUGUAUACAGUAUGUUCUUGAAUAAUGUUCAUUUGUCAGGAGAACUGUGAGAAAUAAACUAUGUGGAUACUGUCUGUUUAUAUUAUAAAAAAAAAAAAAAA